AUGGCCCAGGAGGCCAAUUGCGACGGCGAGCCUGCGAUGGAGUCGGCCGCCCUCGUCCCCGGGCCGCCGGCUGCCACCCCGCCCCCCUGGACGGACGAGGGGUCUCUCCAGUUGCUGGAGAUCCUGCGCCUCCAUCUCCGGGGUGUCCCGCACUGGAUCAUCCCCCGCUACGUCAUCACCGGGGUGGACCUCUACGAUCGGGAGCCCCAAGAGCUCCUCCGCGCCCACCCCUCCGCCGCCUCGACCGACGGCAAGAAGGCGCUCUACUUCCUCAACCGCGUCCGGGCCAAGGCCAAGAACGAUGGCUGGAAAUGCCGUAUGGCUUCCGGCGGCACAUGGAAGUCCGAGCGUGCGCCGGUGGACAUAUGGGGCGCCUCCCGCAUCGCCGGCACCCACCAGAACCUGUCCUUCAUCAUCAAGGGACCCAAGGGAGAGGACCUGCGCUCCGGCUACAUCGCCCAGGAGUUUGCGCUCGCCGGCCACGCUGGUCGCCUCGCCGGCGGCGACCAGCUCGUGCUGACCAAGGUGUACUUCACCCCGCGGGGAGAAGAGGCCGUCUCCAAGGCCAAGGAACGCGUGAUGGCCAAGGCAAAGCGCAAGAAGACGGCCGCCGCCGCCUCCUCCUCCCGGGCGCCUCUUCCGCCCGCAGCCGCCUCCUCCCCUGCUCCCGGCAAGACGCCGGCUCCCAUUGCCGCCUCCUCGCCGGCUCCCCCCAAGAAGGCGGAUGCCCCUUCGUCCUCAUCGCCGGCGCUCAUCGACCAGGCAGUCUCCGACUCGUCCGCGGGAGGAUCCACCUCAUCCACAAGGUUGCUGCUGUUGGAGGUGGGUGACUCCCCAGUAAGCCAAGCCCAGGACUUCUCGAUCCGGCACAUCCUCAGGGCAGCGGAGCUGGUAGGCUCCUCGCUGCCCUUGAACAAAAGGAAGCCUGUCCCAUUUAGUUGUGAUGGCUUGUUCUUGCUCCAGGAAGGGCCCAGGAAGAAGUUUCCAUCAUCUCCAUAG
rnacentral:rRNA from 1 species